rnacentral:lncRNA from 1 species
GUGGGUUUUUUGUUAUGGUGGUAGUAUUUUAUCCUGUUGGAAAGAUAUUUGUUUGUGGAUUUUUUCUUGAAGAGAAGGAAAUUCAUCCACCACCGUUGAAUGAAUUCAACACUGCUUUGGAAUCAGUGAGUAUUCUAAUUUAAUAAAUGUCAAUUUUCACUGGUAGGUAUAAUGAAUAUUAUUAAAAAUGGAACAAUUUGUUCCCAAGUUGAGAUUUUUAAUAAUAGAGUUAUACCUACCAG